rnacentral:rRNA from 1 species
UGGGGGAUAUUGCACAAUGGGCGAAAGCCUGAUGCAGCGACGCCGCGUGGGGGAUGAAGGCCUUCGGGUUGUAAACUUCUUUUGCUCUGAACAAGGCGCACCAUGGGGUGUGUUGAGUGUAGGGGUUGAUUAGCGCCGGCUAACUACGUGCCAGCAGCCGCGGUAAUACGUAGGGCGCGAGCGUUGUCCGGAAUUAUUGGGCGUAAAGGGCUUGUAGGUGGCUGGUUGCGUCUGUCGUGAAAGCUCAUGGCUUAACUGUGGGUUUGCGGGGGGUACGGGCUGGCUUGAGUGCAGUAGGGGAGGCUGGAAUUCCUGGUGUAGCGGUGCAAUGCGCAGAUAUCAGGAGGAAUACCGGUGGCGAAGGCGGGUCUCUGGGCUGUUACUGACACUGAGGAGCGAAAGCAUGGGGAGCGAACAGG